rnacentral:lncRNA from 1 species
UCAUUGACAAUAGUUUCAAUGAUAUAUUCGUGCUGAUCCACUUGAACUUGCACACCACAAUCUUGAUGACGAUCACCACUUGACGUCAUCCUUCAUGGGUUGUAUGAGAUCUUCCUUUUGACGCAAGCCCAAUGGAAACACACCUAACCCCCACAUAGGAGUCUCACAAAGACCAUGGGUUAGUACACAAAUACGUAAUGGACAAUGCUUACCAUACCAUGGGAUCACUUGAUCCCUCUCGGUACAUAUUAUACGCUUUGUGUGUUGAUCAUCUUGAUUUACUCUUUGUCUGAGAUCUUGAUCAACCUAGUGUUUCUAUGACCAUUCUUUGGAUAAUACCUUGAAUAACAUCUUGGUCAACAUAUAAACUCCUUGAACCCAACAGAUGGACUUCAAGAAGUGCCUAUGGACAAAUCCUAUAAAUAUAAAUUAAGGCAACCAUUAGUCCAUAGGAAUUGUCAUCAAUUACCAAAACCACAUAUGGAGAUAUAUGCUCUAACAA